AAAUUAUUAUUGUUAUUGUAUUGUAUUGUAAUAAGCUACCUCGCGUUAGGGUCUAAUAAAAUAAAGAACUAUAUUUCCACUCUUCUAUCUACCAGAGUCUGUUCGUAAAGAGAAGAGUCGUCGAAUGUAUUGGCGCCAUACAUUCCACGGCUCUUCUCACAAACUUUACAUUACACAUGUAUAUUUUAAUCUUAGGUUUAUAUACCGUUAACGCUUAUGCUUAGAUAUACGACGUAAUUUCUGUACUGAAAUUAAUUUUUUUGACCUUUUGACAGAUAUCAUUACAUUUAUUUUGCUUAUGUACAGUCAAAAGAUUUAAUUUGUGACCCAUUUCGUACCUUGUCACAGUGACAAACAAUAUAAAAUUCGCUAGAGACCUCAUACUAUUACCACUUAAAAAUAUUAUCACUAUUACAACACAGUACUACUAAUACCACUUUUAAUAUACCGUUACAAAACAAAUUAUUAUUAUUAUCACUGUGACAAGGUACGAAAUGGGUCACAAAUUAAAUCUUUUGACUGUACCAUCUCGUACACCUAGCCGAACUUUUAUGACGCAUUAUUCGCUAUGUGCACGACUUUCACGCAACCUAGCAGCCGCAAAUCUAGGGGGAAAUGUAAAUUCACUACAUCUUAUAACGCAACUCCAAAACUAAAAAGUGGCUGUGACAGAAUCGGACAGACAGACGGACAUGACGAAUCUAUAAGGGUUCCGUUUUUUGCCAUUUGGCUACGGAACCCUAAAAACUACUGAACGGAUUUUCAUACGACUUUGAUUUAUCAAUAGAGUGAUUCUUGAGGGAGGUUUAGGUAUAUAACUUGUUAAGGUUUUGUGUAAAUUGGUUGAAAUAUAAAGCUGUUGUCCGAAAAAAUCACACUGGCUAGGUGCUUUAAUCGAAAACGCUGUCUAAUCCGUUUGAGCUAUAAUAACACAAUGUAUGGUAGGUUAGUCCCUCUUUUAUUGGUCUACAAAAAAGUCUCCGAUGGUGUAUGUCUAUCUUUUAAGGAAAACUUACUAUACCCAUUUUUAACAUAUACAAAAAGAUCACCUAAUAUGUGGUAUUUGCAAAGCUAUUUUACAUUGAUACAGUAUUAAUGAUUAUCAAAUUAAAUACGUUAGUUGUAUUAAGCAUUUCAUACAGAUUACAAUGGUCCCUUACACCAUACAAUUUAAAUGAAUAUUUCAGGAGUAAUCUUAAAUUAAAGUUUCAUUUCGAGCCAUAUAACUUGUAGGAAAUGUUAAAGACUCUAUCUGCAGUUAGUUCUAAUUUUACCACCUCAUGCGCUGGGAUCGCUUUACUUACCCCCACCAUGCACUUCGCACGUUCCCAUUAUCCCAGAUAUGUACAAUCGAAUUAGGCACUAAAAACUUGCGAAAAUAUUAGAGAUUAUUAAAUAACGAGACUCGUGGAAUUAAUAAAAGCUGGUUGGUUGGUUGGUGGUUAAUUAUGUCUUAAUGUGUGAUAACAAGGCUCAUACAAUGUAAGUACGUUAUAAAGAACAUCGUGACUAUUCAUUGCACUUAUCUCCCGUGUAAUAUUUACCUAAUUUGUCUAGUGCAAUACCAUAUUUUAAUCAUUAUUUUUAUUUUUCAGCCUUUUAUGCACCAUCUGCUCGCGGUGGUCGCAUUCUGCUGUACAAGGGGCAUAAGUAUCACCUCAAAAACAAGGUGGGCACGAAAAUGCGGUGGCAGUGCUGCUCACGCGUUCGUCUGCGAUGCAAAGCGAUACUUUACACACAGGAGAACAUCGUAGUCAAGUUUUGCAAUUCUCACAACCAUAAUUCAUGUUUAGAUUAACUUGAAAUCAUAGAUUUAUAGUAAUUAAUAAGAUAAUAAUACAAUAUCGUGAAGAAAGCAAAGGGCCCAUCUUGGCUAGGCUGUCUGCAUAUAUGUAGAAAUUAAAUGAUGUAAAGUGAGUAGGAAAUGCACUUUUUUUUAGCUAGGCGUACCUAUAUAAAGUUCCAACCCGCUUUUAACCAACGUGGGGAAUAUUAACCCAAUCCCUUUUAUGCAUGAACACGUGUGAAUGAAUCUUUGUGUCUAAAAUGUAAGCGUAAUAAAUGUUUUUUUUUUCUUAAAAGUUUGCUAAUGAGAUUUUCUCUAUUUUACUACUACUACUCAACAGUAUCACAAUAUCAAAAUACAACUAACCCUUACUUUGAUUGAUAUACAGCAAUUUACACGAAGUCAAGAAGAGGCGGUCGCGUUCUCUACUACAGAGGGUACAAAUAUCACUACCAGAGCAACAGCGGGUUUAAGACCAGGUGGCAGUGUGGUACCCACCAACGGUUGGGGUGCAACGCGAGAGCCCUCACUGUGGAUGACGUUGUAAUAAAGCUUACCAGAGAACAUAUUCAUGAAACUGUUUUGUAACGGUAUAUUAAAAGUGGUAUUAGUACUACUGUGUUGUAAUAUAAAUAUGUACAGCCGGCUGCAAAAUUGCAGGGACACUUCGUGAUGUGUGACUUGCAAUAUGAAUAGAACUCGUUCAUAAAAUAUGUUCCUGCUUUUUUGCACCUCGCUAUACCUACUAUAAGUGGUAUUAGUACCACUACAAGACACUGUUGCAUUGUGGGAGUUAUAUACCAUUGGCUGGGAUGCAACGCAAUAGCCCUUUCAAAAGUCACUGAGACACAUGAAAUAUUUGUAAGCCAAAGAUGUAGCCACUAAAGUUGGUAUUAGUGGGUAUUUCUAACACUACAAUAGGCGGUAUCGCGACAUUAUAUUUUAAUCCUUUUUGAAUGUAUUGUUAAUAUAUGUCUUACUAAUAAAUCAGGAUUUAUAUAUAUUAUUUACACACGUUGUCAUUUUAAUUGUAACUGUAUGGAAAUUUAUAUUGUAACUAGGUGAGUCUACAAAUUGGCAAGAAUUAUAGAAAUCCAGUAUUUAGCCGUGAAAUCCAAGAGUAAGAAAUUAAACGCUAACCAAACACACUUUUUAUACCUGAUAAAAUAUUGUACAUCAUCAUCAGCCAGAUUAUCUAUUGCAGAUGAUUGUUUCAGCGUCAGGUACGAUCAAGUUAAAUGUUGCAUCCGAGCAACUCAUUGUUACCCAUUGUUGUUGUAAUCAGGAUCUGCUAGCUGUAAUCCUUGUAAAUGAGGCCAUGGUUGUUGAACAAUAUGCUUCUUGGGUAACUUCUUGGUCAGCUGUUUCUACAUAACAUAAGCUUUGACCAGUAGGACAAAUGUUUUAUCCCGCUGUGAUUUUAUUUGUAGCUCUCAGACGUAGUUGAUUUCUGUUCUCAUAGGACCCAAGCCCGUGAUGCUUCCCCUUACAUGUUGUCGGUCAAGCUUGAGCAGUUGAGCCGCUUUCUCGCUUAUAAAUGAUUCUUCGGAACCUUGGUCUAUUAGCGCGCUCUGUGGAAUGAUGUGACCUUGGUUGGAGGUUGAUUGCAACGUCUGCGAUGACUGUCCUAUACCAGAGUGGCAUCUUCUGCCACAGCAAUAACAAAUAUGUUGAUAGUCCAGAGGUCGUGAUGUCCGGCAGUGCAGAGUCUUCUACUGAUUCAGUUUUUGUCAUGUGUCUCUAUAUCUAUACUCGGUAUUAGAUCUAGAUAGACAAGCCACUUUGAUCAUGUAUCCAUUACCAACAUUUAACUUUUUCAGACAUGGUAUACGAGUUCUGCAAGACUGGCGGUCGUCUCCUACACUACAAUGGGUACAAGUUUCACUUACACAGCUCCGUUGGCGUCAAGUCAAGAUGGAGAUGCUGCGACCGUCGCAAGUUUGGCAACAUUCAUUAGAUCCCGUCAAGGCGGCAUAGUCCUGGUCCACCAAGGAUACAAGUACCACAAGGUUUCCAGCAGCGCUAGCGGCAUUAAGAUCCGCUGGCGUUGUGGUACCCAUCAAAGGCUCCGAUGUCCCGCCAUGGUACACACUGUGGGGAGUUGUGUCGUCAAAAUUCAUGCAACACAUAACCAUGCAAUUAAUGAUCAAAUAGACAAAUUGCGUUUGAACGAUUCAAACUGCAUAUAAUUCGUGUCAGAAGCUUCGAAACUCCGCCAUGGUAUAUGUACCAAUACCAAGUGUAGUAGGCAAGAAGCAUUCCAUAGAUGCCCCAUAGAUGUUCUUAAAUUUCUUAAUGUUAGAAAAUUCGCGUCUAUAUGAGACAAGUGUAGACUAAGUCGGGAACACCUUAAUCAGAUGGACAAACGCCAAUUGAUCGUUCUUUUUGUAUAAGAGCUGUAGAAAAGCAGUAAACCAAGCGUUAAUCAAGUUCUAUGCACAUUCCGCCACUGAUAUUUGCGCCAUUUUACAAUGUAUUUCUAAUUUAAAUAGAAGUAUUUUCUGACUA